CCCCGCCGAUCCCGGGCAGGGCGCCCCGGCCCCCGGCGGGCGGGGGGACGCCGCCCCGGCAAGGCCGGGCCCCCCGGAGCUCGCCAGCCAGGCGACACCGCCGGGGAGGGGGCUGCUCCCACCAGCGCGGCCUUCCCCGCUCCGGGAGCUGGGAGGGCGCCCCCCGACACCCCCCGCCCCCGGGGGCCCCCCGCCCCGCGGCCCCAGCCCAGCGGGACCAAGCCGCAGACCCCGGCCAGCGCGGACCCCCCUGUCGAAGAGGACGCGGAGGAGAAGGUGACUGCGCGGGCCGGGCCCACCGGCUGCCCCGCCGCAGCGCUCCAGCUCAGCACGGGGGGGUUACAUUCUCCUGUAGGAGACGCACAGAACAACGCCCUGCUGCAAGCACUAGAAAAUACCUGAAAAAUAUUUCUAUUUUCCUGGCACAAUGCGACGAAGAUCUACGGUGAAAGAGACAGUAUUUGUGAGCGAUGGACACGGUACAAUCUUCAUGCAGAAAAGGGGAUUACAGGACUCCUCUUAGUUUGCUACAAUAUCUGCAGCACUGCUCUAAAGGGUUUCAAGACACCAGCACCAGGGACUCGCGCAUUUCCCAUUUGUGCCGUUCAGACACAGGUCUCGAUCUCAAUGAAUUGGCUCAGGCGUCGGCCAGGAUGCUCAUGAGAGGAGGAGGGAAACCAAAACCCCCAAACACAAUGAAGAGCUCGAAAUCUCUGGAAAUAAGUCCAUUUCUCAUGUAGUCCUAUCUCAGCAUUUUCAUUUUGGAUUUAGGAUUUUAUUGCCAAGCCCUUUUGUAAUUGCCUCCUGCCUGCAACUUUGCUCUUAUUUCUUUCUAUUCCUCCAACUUAAAACCACUGCAUGCUCCUGCUCUAGAUGUCAAAAUAUCCCUCAUAACCCUCCCAUACAGAGUUCUUGCCUCACCCCAAGCCUCCUGGAAUGCACUCAUGGCAGGAGCUUUCCCACCACUGAAGCACUAAGGCAAUACUUAAAACAUCAAGUACAUUUCAACAGUAACAAAAAAUGAUACUUUGAAGAGCUAUAAAAUUCUAUAGAACAAAAGCCAACAUGAACGCUUUCUUCUUUUAAUAAACAAUAGAGACAUUUAAAGACA